CUUAAAAGGAGUGAUAUUAAGAAACAUCUUAUCACCCUUCUCAAAUUCCAGAUAUCUCAUCUAGGUGUCCACAUAACUCUUCUGCCUAUUCUAAGUUGUCUGGAUGUUCUUUCUGAUUUUAACUAUCUUAGUUAUGGUCUACUCUAUAAGAUCUAGGCCAAACAAUUUUCUAUCACUCACCUUUUCCCAAUAGAUCGGCGAUCUACAGGGUUGGCCAUAUAAUAUCUCAUACGGGGCCAUGUCAAUACUUAUUUGGUAACUGUUAUUAUAGGCG
rnacentral:lncRNA from 1 species